rnacentral:rRNA from 1 species
GAUGAACGCUGGCGGCGUGCCUAAUACAUGCAAGUCGAGCGAACAGAUAAGGAGCUUGCUCCUUUGACGUUAGCGGCGGACGGGUGAGUAACACGUGGGUAACCUACCUAUAAGACUGGAAUAACUCCGGGAAACCGGGGCUAAUGCCGGAUAACAUUUAGAACCGCAUGGUUCUAAAGUGAAAGAUGGUUUUGCUAUCACUUAUAGAUGGACCCGCGCCGUAUUAGCUAGUUGGUAAGGUAACGGCUUACCAAGGCAACGAUACGUAGCCGACCUGAGAGGGUGAUCGGCCACACUGGAACUGAGACACGGUCCAGACUCCUACGGGAGGCAGCAGUAGGGAAUCUUCCGCAAUGGGCGAAAGCCUGACGGAGCAACGCCGCGUGAGUGAUGAAGGUCUUCGGAUCGUAAAACCCUGUUAUUAGGGAAGAACAAAUGUGUAAGUAACUGUGCACGUCCUGACGGUACCUAAUCAGAAAGCCACGGCUAACUACGUG